rnacentral:rRNA from 1 species
GGGUCUUCUUGAUUCUCGAUACCGGCGCAACGAGGUGCGAAUCACGUCUGCAACUUGCCCUGAUCGGGGGGAUACGCCUUUCCAAAGGGAGCUUUAUACCCCUUAAUAUAUCUGCGUGACAUCACUUGAUAUUGACAAGCUCCUUGCGGCAUACCAGAUGCGGCAUGCGCCAUAUUAUAUAGUUGGUGAGGUAACUGGCUCACCAAGGCCACGAUCUUUAAGUGGCCUGAGAGGAUGAUCCCCCACCACUGGCAACUGACACACGGACCAGACUCCUACGGGAAGCAGCAGUGAGGAAUAUUGCACUAUGGGUGGAGAGCCUGAUCCAGCCAUGCCGCGUGAAGGACUACAGGCCCUCUGGCAGUGCACACCUUCUCCAGUUCGGGAAUCCCUACCUGGCGCACCUAGCUGCUGUNCUCUCCCCCCCACUAUCCCUCCCC